ensembl:lncRNA
UAUGAAGCACCCCAAAUGGUGUAAGGCAUCUAGUUCUCAACACUGGUCGCUAGAGGAUUAAUGGUGGAUAUUCGUUCUUUCAACAAGUGUUUAUUAAACACCUGCUGUGUGCUAGCUAUGGAAAAAUAGCAUUGAACAAAACAGACAAAAUCCCUAAUCUCAUUGAGUUUACCAUCUAGUGAGGACAAUCAGACAAACAAAAUAAGUAAAAUUUAUGGGAAUUAGGUAGUGAUAAAUUCUAUAGAGAAAAACAAAACAGGUUUCAAGAAGGGAGAUGGAGGAGUAUUGGGAUGUGUAAGGUUUGCAGUUAUAACUAGAGUGGUCCAGGAAUUAUUUGUGGAGAAGUGCACGUUAAGCAGAAACCUGAAGGAGGUGAAAGGAACAAGCCAUGUGGUAUCUAAAUAAAGAAACUUCCAGGACUGUAACAACACAAACUAGAGAAGAUGACAUAAGAUUGGCGCUGAACUAAUAUCUGUUGCCAGUCCUCUUCUAUUUUGUAUGCGGGAUGCCACCACAGCUUGACUUGAUGAGCAGUGUGUAGGUCUGCACCCAGGAUCCAAACCUGUGAACCCCGGGCCACUGAAGCAGAGUGUGCAAACUUAACCACUAUGCCACCAGGCCAGUCCUGAAUCUAAUAAUUCUUGAUGCUAUUAUUGAUCCCCGUGGCACCACUGGAUAAUUUUUUUUUUCUGCUGAGGAAGAUUAGCCCUGAGUUAACAUCUGUUGUCCAUCUUCCUGUUUUUUUUCGCUUGAGGAAGAUUAGCCCUGAGCUAAUGUGUGCCAGUCUGCCUCGACUUUGUAUGUGGGUUGUUGCCACAGCAUGCCUGACAAGUGGUGUAGGUCUCCGUGUAGGAUCUGAACCUGUGAACCUGGGCUGCUGAAGCAGAGAAUGCUGAACUUAACCACUAUGCCACGGGGCUGGCCCCUGGAUAACUUUCUGUUUAGAGACCUUGGCCACAAAUACUACAUAAACAUAGUGAUAUAUAAUUUAUCUAUUGUAGUACUGAGUUUUUUUCUAUCAACUUAAAGGCACAAAUUAAAGAACCAUUUUCACAAGUUAAUACAUCUUGUCACUGCUUCAUAUUUUAAACUCAUUUUUUCAACUUUGUGAGGAUGGGUUAUUUUAUAGACCAGAUUGUAAUAUUGGGUUGUUAUAAAUAGUAUUCUUUGCCACAUAUCCUUGACCUUCAGGUAAGCAGUGGAUGAGUUUAUUUGGUCAUUGCACGUCUAAUUUUGGUAAGGGUUUUGUGUUUUUAGCUCUUUGAAUGGGAUUAGGCAUCACAUAUAUGUGCAGAAAGAAACUAAACCUUUAAACAGCUCUGAAAUUUGGAAAAAUAUAGUUGUGUGAGAUUUUAUUUACUCAAAACAAUUUUUGUAUACAUUGUGUUAAAUCAAAAAGUGUAUUUGAAUCAUUGAUUAUGAAGAAAUGGGUGUCCAAUAUCAUCUGGAAAUGUUGUAACGAUCAUAACUCUUACUGAGCUCAUGAACCUAAAAUUAGAGGAUCUUAAGAAUCCUAUGAGUUGGAAGGGAAUGUAGAAAUUAUCUUGCCUGAUGUCAAAGUCUCUCUUCAACAUCUCUAGCACAAAGUCAUCCAUUAUCUGCUUGAAUAUGUCCAAAUAGGAGGGAACUCACUAAUUCACAAGAAGGCUGUUUCAUUUAUUUAAAGGAAGAUUAGCCCUGAGCUAACGUCUGCUGCCAAUGCUCCUCUUUUCGCUGAGGAAGACUGGCCCUGAGCUGACAUCCAUGCCCAUCUUCCUCUACUUUAUAUGUGGGAUGCCUGCCACAGCAUCGCCUGCCAAGCAAUGCCAUGUUCACACCCGGGAUCCGAACCGGCGAACCCUGGGCUGGAAUGUGCGAAUUUAACUGCUGUGCCACCAGGCUGGCCCCAGCUAUUCCAUUUUUGAAGAGUUCAAAUUGUUAGAGACCUAUUCCUUAUAUUAGAGCCAAAUCUGUC